CCCCCCUCAGGCCCGCUCCUUUGCCGGAGCGGGUUUGGAUUUGGAUGCCUGUGGCUUAAAAAGAGGCCGCUCGUCUUUAAAUGCAUUAGCUGGCCCCUCGGUCCAAAACGACGGUGUGAUAACAAACGCUUAGUGCGCCGUUCGUCGCCGGGCCCUGGGGGGUCGCUGAUAGUAAGGGCCCCUCCCUUUUUGUU
rnacentral:misc_RNA from 1 species